GAUGAACGCUGGCGGCGUGCCUAAUACAUGCAAGUCGAGCGAACAGACGAGGAGUUUGCUCCUCUGACGUUAGCGGCGGACGGGUGAGUAACACGUGGAUAACCUACAUAUAAGACUGGGAUAACUUCGGGAAACCGGAGCUAAUACCGGAUAAUAUAUUGAACCGCAUGGUUCAAUAGUGAAAGACGGUUUUGCUGUCACUUAUAGAUGGAUCCGCGCCGCAUUAGCUAGUUGGUAAGGUAACGGCUUACCAAGGCAACGAUGCGUAGCCGACCUGAGAGGGUGAUCGGCCACACUGGAACUGAGACACGGUCCAGACUCCUACGGGAGGCAGCAGUAGGGAAUCUUCCGCAAUGGGCGAAAGCCUGACGGAGCAACGCCGCGUGAGUGAUGAAGGUCUUCGGAUCGUAAAACUCUGUUAUUAGGGAAGAACAAAUGUGUAAGUAACUAUGCACGUCUUGACGGUACCUAAUCAGAAAGCCACGGCUAACUACGUG
rnacentral:rRNA from 1 species